AGAAUAGCAGGAACGAAGAGCGGCAAGCAAAGCUUGCGAAUUAACGUACUGCUGACAACUAUUCACUAUUCACUAACUACUACUAAACUCACCCCCAACAUUGUGUGUUGGGGGUGAGUUUAGUGGCGGACGGGUGAGUAACACGUGAGCAACCUGCCUGAGGAAGGGGGAUAACGUUUGGAAACAGACGCUAAUACCGCAUAUAAUGCACACUUGGCAUCGGGAGUGCAUGAAAGGACUUCGGUCCGUCCUCAGAUGGGCUCGCGCCCGAUUAGGUAGUUGGUGGGGUAAAGGCCUACCAAGCCAACGAUCGGUAGCCGUACUGAGAGGUAGAACGGCCACAUUGGGACUGAGACACGGCCCAGCCUACGGGAGGCAGCAGUGGGGAAUAUUGCACAAUGGGGGAAACCCUGAUGCAGCGACGCCGCGUGAGUGAAGACGGUCUUCGGAUUGUAAAGCUCUGUUGAGGGGGACGAAGAAGUGACGGUACCCCUCGAGGAAGCCACGGCUAACUACGUGCCAGCAGCCGCGGUAAUACGUAGGUGGCAAGCGUUGUCCGGAAUUACUGGGUGUAAAGGGAGCGUAGGCGGGGGCGCAAGUUGGGUGUGAAAUGUACAGGCUUAACCUGUGAACUGCACCCAAAACUGCGCGUCUUGAGUGAUGUAGAGGCAGGCGGAAUUCCUAGUGUAGCGGUGAAAUGCGUAGAUAUUAGGAGGAACACCAGUGGCGAAGGCGGCCUGCUGGGCAUUAACUGACGCUGAGGCUCGAAAGCGUGGGGAGCAAACAGGAUUAGAUACCCUGGUAGUCCACGCGGUAAACGAUGAUUACUAGGUGUGGGGGGACUGACCCCUUCCGUGCCGGAGUUAACACAAUAAGUAAUCCACCUGGGGAGUACGGCCGCAAGGUUGAAAAACUCAAAGGAAUUGACGGGGGCCCGCACAAGCAGUGGAUUAUGUGGUUUAAUUCGAAGCAACGCGAAGAACCUUACCAGGUCUUGACAUCCCGUGCAUAGCGCAGAGAUGCGUGAAGUCUUCGGACACGGAGACAGGUGGUGCAUGGUUGUCGUCAGCUCGUGUCGUGAGAUGUUGGGUUAAGUCCCGCAACGAGCGCAACCCUUACUAUUAGUUGCUACGCAAGAGCACUCUAAUGGGACUGCCGUUGACAAAACGGAGGAAGGUGGGGAUGACGUCAAAUCAUCAUGCCCUUUAUGACCUGGGCUACACACGUAAUACAAUGGCA
rnacentral:rRNA from 1 species